UACAGAGGGUGCGAGCGUUGUUCGGAAUUACUGGGCGUAAAGUGUGCGCAGGCGGCCGAGCAAGUCGAGUGUGAAAGCCCCGAGCUUAACUUGGGAACUGCGCUCGAAACUACUUGGCUAGAGUGUGGCAGAGGGAGGUGGAAUUCCGCGUGUAGCGGUGAAAUGCGUAGAGAUGUGGAGGAACACCGAUGGCGAAGGCAGCCUCCUGGGCCAACACUGACGCUCAUGCACGAAAGCGUGGGGAGCAAACAGG
rnacentral:rRNA from 1 species